GUGUCAGAUGGUUGUCAGAUGGUGUAUGAUGGUCGAAGUGUGUCAGAUGGUUGUCAGAUGGUGUAUGAUGGUCUAGGGUGGUUAUACAGGGAAGAGUUGUCAGAUGGUGAAGAUGGUACAGAUGGUGUAUGAUGGUCGAAGUGUGUCGGAUGGUUGUCAGUUGGUGUAUGAUGGUCGAAAUGUGUCAGAUGGUUGUCAGAUGGUGUAUGGUGGUGUAUGAUGGUCGAAGUGUGUCAGAUGGUUGUCAGAUGGUGUAUGAUGGUGUAGGGUGGUUAUACAGGGAAGGGUUGUCAGAUGGUGAAGAUGGUACAGAUGGUGUAUGAUGGUCGAAAUGUGUCGGAUGGUUGUCAGAUGGUGUAUGAUGGUCGAAGUGUGUCAGAUGGUUGUCAGAUGGUGUAUGAUGGUGUAGGGUGUUUAUACAGGGAAGAGCUGUCAGAUGGUGAAGAUGGUACAGAUGGUGUAUGAUGGUCGCGGGUUGUCAUUCGGUGUACGAUGCUUAUAUUAGAUAUUACAUUGGUAUAUUUUAUUAUUACUUACAUACACUUUAGCCAACUAUUGUAUGUGUAUAAAAAUAUAAUGUUAUAUCUAACAUUGCGGUUCUCGUGUGGGAAACGUAAUUCAAAGUAUUUGG